GAAAGUAAGCAAGGGCAGACGGUGGAUGCCUUGGCUCUCGGAGGCGACGAAGGACGUGAUAAGCUGCGAAAAGCCCGGGGGAGGCGCAAAUAGCCCUUGAUCCCGGGAUAUCCGAAUGGGGCAACCCGGCAGGCUGAAGGCCUGCCAUCCCGAAAGGGAGGCGAACGUGGGGAACUGAAACAUCUAAGUACCCAUAGGAGGAGAAAAUAAACAAUGAUUCCGUAAGUAGUGGCGAGCGAACACGGAAGAGCCCAAACCCAUGUCGUCUAGGCGACACGGGGGUUGUAGGACCACGACGUGGCAAGAUAGAGUCAAGUGGAACGCCUUGGAAAAGGCGGCCAUAGAGGGUGAAAACCCCGUACACGACUGACGAUUGAAGCCUAGUGGCAUCCUGAGUAGCGCGGGGCACGAGAAAUCUUGCGUGAAUUAGCGGGGCCCAUCCCGUAAGGCUAAAUACUCCCGAGAGACCGAUAGCGAACCAGUACCGUGAGGGAAAGGUGAAAAGAACCCCGAGCAGGGGAGUGAAAUAGACCCUGAACCCGUCUGCCUACAAGCGGUCGGAGCGUCGUAAUGACGUGACGGCGUGCCUUUUGCAUAAUGAACCUACGAGUUACCUUCCCCGGCAAGGUUAAGUUCUUGAGGAACGGAGCCGAAGCGAAAGCGAGUCUGAACAGGGCGCCAAGUCGGGGGGGGUAGACGCGAAACCGAGUGAUCUACCCUUGGCCAGGUUGAAGGUUGGGUAACACCAACUGGAGGACCGGAUGGGUAAGCGUUGAAAAGCUUUCCAAUGAGCUGAGGGUAGGGGUGAAAGGCUAAUCAAACUCGGAGAUAGCUCGUACUCCCCGAAAUGCAUUUAGGUGCAGCCUCUUUAUAGUAUAUCGUGAGGUAGAGCGACUGAUUGGAUGCGAGGGCUUCACCGCCUAUCAAGUCCAGAUAAACUCCGAAUGCGCGAUAUAUAUUUACAGGGAGUGAGGGCGCGGGUGCUAAGGUCCGUGUCCGAGAGGAGAAGAAUCCAGACCACCGGCUAAGGCCCCCAAAUGAUCGUUAAGUUGAACUAACGAGGUCGGAUCGCAGAGACAGCUAGGAUGUUGGCUUGGAAGCAGCCAUUCAUUUAAAGAGUGCGUAACAGCUCACUAGUCGAGCGAUCUGGCGUGGAUAAUAAUCGGGCAUAAACGAUCUGCCGAAGCCGUGGAUGUCGCAAGACAUGGUAGGGGAGCAUUCCAUGCCGCGUCGAAGAUGAGGGAUGACCCUUGUUGGAGCGCAUGGAAAAGCAAAUGUAGGUAUGAGUAACGAUAAGGGGGGCGAGAAACCCCCCCGCCGAAAGACCAAGGUUUCCUGAUCAACGCUAAUCGGAUCAGGGUGAGUCGGGACCUAAGGCAAAGCCGAACGGCGCCGCCGAUGGAAGAAUGGGUUAAUAUUCCCAUACUGCCUCAUGGAGUGACGUGGAGACGGAGAAGUGACAGUCCUGCCGGCUGACGGAAUAGCCGGUUGAAGGGUGUAGAUAUUGAUUCCCGUAGGCAAAUCCGCGGGGAGAGUCGAACCUGAGAGUAUACGGAGCGCUUGCGCAACGUAAUAUGGACGUAACCAUGCUCCCGAGAAAAUCCGCUAAACUUAUCCAUGCGGCACCCGUACCGUAAACGGACACACGUGGUCGGGUUGAGAAUACUGAGGCGCUCGAGUGAUUCACGGUUAAGGAACUAGGCAAAUUGACCCUGUAACUUCGGGAUAAAGGGUCCUCGUCGUAAGGCGAGGCGCAGAGAAUAGGUCCAGGCAACUGUUUAACAAAAACACAUGGCUGUGCUAAAUGGAAACAUGAUGUAUACAGCCUGACACCUGCCCGGUGCCGGAAGGUUAAGAGGAGAUGUCAUCCGCGAGGAGAAGCGUUGAAUUGAAGCCCCGGUAAACGGCGGCCGUAACUAUAACGGUCCUAAGGUAGCGAAAUUCCUUGUCGGGUAAGUUC
rnacentral:rRNA from 1 species